rnacentral:rRNA from 1 species
AUUGAACGCUGGCGGCAUGCUUUACACAUGCAAGUCGAACGGCAGCGCGGGCUUCGGCCUGGCGGCGAGUGGCGAACGGGUGAGUAAUUCAUCGGAACGUGCCCAGUAGUGGGGGAUAGCCCGGCGAAAGCCGGAUUAAUACCGCAUACGACCUGAGGGUGAAAGCGGGGGACCGAAAGGCCUCGCGCUAUUGGAGCGGCCGAUGUCGGAUUAGCUAGUUGGUGGGGUAAAGGCUUACCAAGGCGACGAUCCGUAGCUGGUCUGAGAGGACGACCGGCCACACUGGGACUGAGACACGGCCCAGACUCCUACGGGAGGCAGCAGUGGGGAAUUUUGGACAAUGGGGGCAACCCUGAUCCAGCCAUGCCGCGUGCGGGAAGAAGGCCUUCGGGUUGUAAACCGCUUUUGUUCGGGAAGAAAUCCUCUGGGCUAAUACCCCGGGGGGAUGACGGUACCGGAAGAAUAAGCACCGGCUAACUACGUG